rnacentral:rRNA from 1 species
GUGUCAGCAGCCGCGGUAAUACGAGAGGCCCAAACGUUAUUCGGAAUUACUGGGCUUAAAGAGUUCGUAGGCGGCUUGGAAAGUGGGGUGUGAAAGCCCUCGGCUCAACCGAGGAAUUGCGCUCCAAACUCCCAAGCUUGAGGAGGCUAGAGGUGAGCAGAACUGAUGGUGGAGCGGUGAAAUGCGUUGAUAUCAUCAGGAAUACCGGAGGCGAAGGCGGCUCACUGGGACCUUUCUGACGCUGAGGAACGAAAGCUAGGGGAGCGAACGGGAUUAGAAACCCCUGUAGUCC